AAGAUUAAGCCAUGCAUGUCUAAGUACAUGCCGUAUAAAGGCGAAACCGCGAAUGGCUCAUUAAAUCAGUUAUGGUUCCUUGGAUCGUACCUUACUACUUGGAUAACUGUGGCAAUUCUAGAGCUAAUACAUGCAGCAGAGCUCCGACCCUCGGGAACGAGCGCUUUUAUUAGACCAAAACCAAUCGGACCUCGUGUCCGUCAAAUGUGGUGACUCUGUAUAACUUUGGGCUGAUCGCACGGGCCUGUCCCGGCGACGUAUCCUUCAAGUGUCUGCCUUAUCAACUUUCGAUGGUAGGUUACGCGCCUACCAUGGUCGUAACGGGUCACGGGGAAUCAGGGUUCGAUUCCGGAGAGGGAGCCUGAGAAACGGCUACCACAUCCAAGGAAGGCAGCAGGCGCGCAAAUUACCCACUCCCGGCACGGGGAGGUAGUGACGAAAAAUAACAAUACGGGACUCUUUUGAGACCCCGUAAUUGGAAUGAGUACACUCUAAACCCUUUAACGAUUAUCCAUUGGAGAACCAGUCUGGUGCCAGCACUCGCGGUAACUCCAGCUCCAAUAGCGUAUAUUAAAGUUGUUGCGGUUAAAAAGCUCGUAGUUGGAUCUCAGUUCCAGACGGGUGGUCCGCCUUACGGUGGCUACUGCCUGUUCUGAACAGCCAGCCGGUUUCUCUUGAUGAUCUUCACCGGUUGUCUUGGGUGACCGGCAAGUUUACUUUGAAAAAAUUAGAGUGCUCAAGGCAGGCGUGACGCCUGAAUAAUCUUGCAUGGAAUAAUGGAAUAGGACCUCGGUUCUAUUUUGUUGGUUUUCGGAACACGAGGUAAUGAUUAAGAGGGACAGACGGGGGCAUUCGUACUGCGACGAUAGAGGUGAAAUUCUUGCCAAGAAUGUUUCCAUUAAUCAAGAACGAAAGUUAGAGGCUCGAAGGCGAUCAGAUACCGCCCUAGUUCUAACCAUAAACGAUGCCAGCCAGCGAUCCGGCUGUGUUCCUCAAAUGACACGCCGGGCAGCUUCCGGGAAACCAAAGCCUUUGGGUUCCGGGGGAAGUAUGGUUGCAAAGCUCAAACUUAAAGGAAUUGACGGAAGAGCACACAAGGAAUGGAGCAUGCGGCUCAAUUUGACUCAACACGGGGAAGCCUACCCGGCCCGGACGCAGGAAGGAUUGACAGAUUAAGAGCUCUUUCUUGAUUCUGCGGGUGGUGGUGCAUGGCCGUCCAUCCGGGGCCGCACGCGCGCUACAUUGAAGGAGUCAGCAUGUGCUCUCCCGCCCUGACAAGGGUGGGUAACCCAUUGAAUUUCCUUCGUGCUGGGGAUUGGUCUUUGUAAUUCUCGACCAUGAACGAGGAAUUCCCAGUAAGUGCGUGUCAUCAGCACGCGUUGACUAAGUCCCUGCUCUUUGUGCACACCGCCCGUCGCUACUAUCGAUGGAUGCUUUAGUGAGGUCUUCGGACUGGUGCGCGGUGUGGUUUUCGGAUCGUGCCGUGUGCCGGAAAGAUGAUCGAACUUGACAUCUAGA
rnacentral:rRNA from 1 species